CCCGUCGUUACCCGUGUCACUUCCGGGUCAGAGGUUGUGUGCCGACAGGGCGACUGUUUGUGUGGUGCUCCGUGCUCCCUGUGUGUGCUGCUUUGGUUGUUUGGCAGUGGUAAAUGCUGGAAGCUGCCUGGAGUCCUCUCUCCCUCCCUCCUCUCCUGAGUGUGUGAGAGUCUGUUGCUGCUAAAACGGUGUUAUUGUAGCCACCUUACUGGAAUUGCUGCUGCUUUGUUUUCACUGCCAUUUGUAUCUGCUGCUGCUUGCCUUCAUGGUGCUCCCCUGCAGCCGUCAGAAGCUUCGCAGCGUCACUUCCAUCAAAAUAUACGCUGGGUGUCCUGUCUGCACGUCCUGUGCAGGACGAUUGUUCGGCCGCACGCUGCGGGCCAG